AGUGAACGCUGGCGGUAGGCCUAACACAUGCAAGUCGAACGGCAGCACAGUAAGAGCUUGCUCUUACGGGUGGCGAGUGGCGGACGGGUGAGGAAUACAUCGGAAUCUACUUUUUCGUGGGGGAGAACGUAGGGAAACUUACGCUAAUACCGCAUACGACCUACGGGUGAAAUCAGGGGAUCUUCGGACCUUGCGCGAUUGAAUGAGCCGAGGUCGGAUUAGCUAGUUGGCGGGGUAAAGGCCCACCAAGGCGACGAUCCGUAGCUGGUCUGAGAGGAUGAUCAGCCACACUGGAACCGAGACACGGUCCAGACUCCUACGGGAGGCAGCAGUGGGGAAUAUUGGACAAUGGGCGCAAGCCUGAUCCAGCCAUACCGCGUGGGUGAAGAAGGCCUUCGGGUUGUAAAGCCCUUUUGUUGGGAAAGAAAAGCAGCAGGUUAAUACCCCGCUGUUCUGACGGUACCCAAAGAAUAAGCACCGGCUAACUUCGUG
rnacentral:rRNA from 1 species